rnacentral:tRNA from 1 species
GCCAACGUAGCUCAGUUGGUAGAGCAACUCCAUGGUAAGGAGUAGGUCGCCGGUUCAAAUCCGGCCGUUGGCU